GACAAGGCUUAGAAACUAAACAUAUAAGGUCCUGCCCCAUCUCCUGGAAGAAGGAAUGCUACACAGAGAGGCUAAGAAGACUCUGGACAGUGCAGAAUCUGGAGCUAGAGAAAAAUUUAAAAAGCCACAAGGAUGUGAAUUGCUGAGCCUGAGAUAGAAGAGGUAGGGAAAAAAAACAUAAGAACCUGCUUGUCUUCUGUUGAGUUAAAACGAACUAUUUUUUAAAAUAGUGUGAAAUAAAGGAAAUGAGAGACAUAUUAAGGAUAUGCUACAGUGAAUGUAGAGACAAGUGUAAGAGGGAUUU
rnacentral:lncRNA from 10 species